rnacentral:rRNA from 1 species
GACGAACGCUGGCGGCGUGCUUAAAACAUGCAAGUCGAACGGAAAGGCCCUGCUUUUGUGGGGUGCUCGAGUGGCGAACGGGUGAGUAACUCGUGAGUAACCUGCCCUUGACUUUGGGAUAACUUCAGGAAACUGGGGCUAAUACCGGAUAGGAGCUCCUGCUGCAUGAUGGGGGUUGGAAAGUUUCGGUGGUUGGGGAUGGACUCGCGGCUUAUCAGCUUGUUGGUGGGGUCGUGGCUUACUAAGGCUUUGACGGGUAGCCGGCCUGAUAGGGUGACCGGCCACAUUGGGACUUGGAAACGGCCCAGACUCCUACGGGAGGCAGCAGUGGGGAAUAUUGCACAAUGGGCGGAAGCCUGAUGCAGCAACGCCGCGUGCGGGAUGACGGCCUUCGGGUUGUAAACCGCUUUCGCCUGUGACGAAGCGUGAGUGACGGUAAUGGGUAAAGAAGCACCGGCUAACUACGUG